AUGAACGCUAGCGGGACGCCUAACACAUGCAAGUCAAACGGAUUUUAUUUUGUAGCAAUACGAGAUAAAAUUAGUGGCAAACGAGCGAGUAACGCGUACCUAAUCUGCCCAGAAGAUGGGGACAACUAUGGAGACAUAGCUAAUCCCCAAUAAUCUCCACAAAAUGAAAAUAUGUGGAGCAAAGAUUUAUCGCUUUUGGAGGAGGGUGCGUCCUAUCAUGGUAGUUGGUGAGGUAAUGGCUCACCAAGCCUUUGACGGGUAGCCGGCCUAAGAUGGUGUUCGGCCGCGAUGGAACUGAGAUACGGUCCAUACUCCUACGGGAGGCAGCAGUGGGGAAUCUUGCACAAUGGACGAAAGUCUGAUGCAGCGAUCCCGCGUGGAGGACGAAGCCCUAUGGGGUGUAAACUCCUUUUCUGGUGGAAGAAGAAUGACGGUACACCAGGAAUAAGAGACGGCUAACUACGU
rnacentral:rRNA from 1 species